AAGUCGUAACAAGGUUUCCGUAGGUGAACCUGCGGAAGGAUCAUUAACAAAUUUCCAUUGUUUAUGGGAUUUAUUCCAUAUCAACCUUGUGUGCACCUAUUAAUUGUCUCUGGUGGGUCCUUUGUUCUGAGGUUUUUCUGGCUAAGUAGUCUUUGCUGACUUGGGUUUUUCAUUAGACUUGAGUUAGGAAAAAUUGUUAAGUCAAAAGAGCCUUCAGUUCCAAGUCCACCAAAGGUUCAACCCCUGAGUAUUUUUGUUUUCUACUGAAGUAAUAAAUUAUUAUAAUUUAAAAACAACUUUUGACAACGGAUCUCUUGGCUCUC
rnacentral:misc_RNA from 1 species